rnacentral:misc_RNA from 1 species
UUUCUGUUGGUGAACCAGCGGAAGGAUCAUUACAGAGAUCAUGCCCUCACGGGUAGACAUCCCACCCUGUGUUAUUUACGAUUGCUGCUUUGGCAGGCCACCUUCGGGCGCUCGGCUUCGGCUGAGGUGCGCCUGCCAGAGGACCCCCAACUCUGUGUUUAGUGUUGUCUGAGUCUUAUUUAAUACGUUAAAACUUUCAACAACGGAUCUCUUGGUUCUGGCAUCGAUGAAGAACGCAGC